rnacentral:rRNA from 1 species
AUGAACGCUGGCGGCGUGCCUAAUACAUGCAAGUCGAGCGAACAGACGAGGAGCUUGCUCCUCUGACGUUAGCGGCGGACGGGUGAGUAACACGUGGAUAACCUACCUAUAAGACUGGGAUAACUUUGGGAAACCGGAGCUAAUACCGGAUAAUAUAUUGAACCGCGUGGUUCAAUAGUGAAAGACGGUUUUGCUGUCACUUAUAGAUGGAUCCGCGCCGCAUUAGCUAGUUGGUAAGGUAACGGCUUACCAAGGCAACGAUGCGUAGCCGACCUGAGAGGGUGAUCGGCCACACUGGAACUGAGACACGGUCCAGACUCCUACGGGAGGCAGCAGUAGGGAAUCUUCCGCAAUGGGCGAAAGCCUGACGGAGCAACGCCGCGUGAGUGAUGAAGGUCUUCGGAUCGUAAAACUCUGUUAUUAGGGAAGAACAAAUGUGUAAGUAACUAUGCACGUCUUGACGGUACCUAAUCAGAAAGCCACGGCUAACUACGUG